GCUGACAUCCCUGAGAAGGGCCAUAGCUCUACAGAUGCCCCAUGGGGAAAUCAUACUCCUUGCUCCAGUGAUUCUGGGGUCCCCCGGCAUUCCCAGUGAGUCACCUUUGUAUAUCCAGGAACCGCAAAUGAUGAGGAUACAUUUUACGAUCAUUAAGAUCCAGUGGCAGUUCAUGUGCUUCAUGAUCUAUUGGAAGCCAGGGGGACUCUGAAUCACUGCUCUGGAGUGACCCAGCAAUGCCAUUUCUCUCCUGCUCAUGAGCCUUCGAAGAUUUACUGGCAGACCGGUGCUUAACUGACAGCUGCCCUCUGCUCCCCUCUGCCACCCACAUGCCAAGACCAACAAAGCAUCUUCCUAAAGCCCCCCUGUGAGAGGACAAAGGCCAGGCUGGAAGGCUGUGCAGAAGAAGGUAGGAGGCUGAAGAGCGUGGCAAGCCCCUUGCAUGGGCCCCACUGCUGGUGACCUUGGCCACCUGCGGUUUACUGCAGAUGUUGAAAGAAUUCGCUAUCAAAGAGAUUGUUUCAUUUGGAGACAAGGCCGUUUUCUGAAAAAGUUGAGAAAGUCCUUGAAAGUUGCACAGUUUCUGAUGUUGAUAGAGCAGGGAAAAUGUCAUCAUCAGCUCUUUUUAAAAAUAAGCUUUUUGAGAUCCUGCUGUGUGGCGCUGGGAACUAUGUGUAGUCACUUAUGACGGAGCAUGAUAAUGCGAGAAAAUAGAAUGUGUACAUGUAUGUGUAACUGGAUCACCAUACUGUAUGGUAGAAAAAAAAAAUGUAUUGGGGAAAUAACAAUUUUUUUAAAAAGAAAAAUAAUAAGCUUUUUAUUGAAUAGAAUGUAUGUACUGAAAAGUACACAUUUCAUACAACGUCGUUUCUAUGACAUAUAAUAACAGGCAAAGCAUAUCUGUGGGGUGAGGUAGUCAUGAUAGUGGGGCUGGGGGUGCCUGGAAGGGAGCACAAAGGAUACCCCCAGGGGUGAUUAUGUUCUAGUUCUUGAUUGAGAACAACUCUUUGUGAGUUAACAGAAUCUCAGAUAGCACUUAGCAGGCACCAAAUUGAGAAGAGGCAAAGCCUGGGGCCAAGAUGAUUCAAGCAGCUAAGCCUUCUGUUUGGGGCUGGCCUUGGUUUCCUGGCAUCCCCCCACCCCCCUUGCUUUGGAGGGUGCCUGUCUCACUCAUGUGCCACAGGUGGUCAGCCUCCCCUCUGGCUCCACGAGCUGGCCCGGAACUCAAGAGGCUGGAAAAGCGAUGGGCACAUGAUCCAGGUCAGACAAUGAGAGUCCAUCCUAGGACUUUUUUGCUAGAACCACUGGGAAAGAGGCACAAGCUCUCAGCUGGGGUGUCUAAGCUGGUAGCACGUAAGCUCUGGCUUGGGCUGGCCGUCUUUGCUACCAUGUGGAGUGUGCCAGCCAGAGAUGAAGCCAACACAGAAGACAGGAAAGUCAAGACUCCUGGUGAGUGUGUAUAGGGAUCCAACCAUGUUGAGAACUGUCUCCAUUUCCCAUGGACUUUUCAUUUGUUAUGUGUUGAUAAAUUCCCUUUUCUUCCUCUCUUCUCCUGGUUGAGUUUCUAUCCCUUGCCUCCAAGGGUUUGAGAAACAGAUUUGUUCCUUGAUCAGUCAGAACUAUUUGAUAUACUUGUCCAAAUCUGAUUUCUUUUACUGUGGCACUCAGGGUUUCUGCGAGCCCCCAGAAGGGCAGAGACAGCUUCAAACUGUGAGAGUUGGGGGUGGAGAGAUGGGGGGGCUUUAGAGAUUUCUGUCGGAUUGGAGGGAUGAGCUGAAGGGGACUUGUUCUGAAUUUGCGUUGGCACAGCUCCAUGCUGUUUUGCCCAGUGUGUUUACUUGGGAUGGCAUGGGGGUGCUUAGUGCUGCCACUGGGUCGUUGCUUCCUCUUGUUCUCUUGGGACUUGGCUCUUGAGGACCUUAUCUAUGUAUAAGACAUAAUUAGAAGAGGAGUUCCCUGGUGGCCCAGUGGUUAAGGAUCCAGCAUUGUUACUGCUGUGGCUCGGAUCACUGCUGUGAUGCAGGUUCAGUCCCUGGCCCGGGAACUUCCCCAUGCCAUGAGCAUGUUCCCAAAAAAGACAGAGGUAGAGAAAGUGAGCACACAUGGGCUGAUGGGAGCUGACCAGCCUGCUGGAGAUAACCAAGAAGGGCCCAACGGUGACCUCCCACUUCCCAUUUCAUAGACACUCUGUGUUUUAAAGUAUCCCAAAUUAUAAAGUACACAAAGGAAUUCUAAGGUGGCAGUUUUAAGAAUAAGAUCACUGAGGUGGUUCUACCUGACAGGGCAGAGGAAGGCACUAAAUCAAAAUCACCUAAAAUAGAAGUGAUUCUAACAGUAUCUUGUGUUUUGCUUUAUAGAUUUUUCAGCUAUUCACUGGAUGGAAAAUAUUCUUCAAUAAACCAUUUAAUGAUAUAUGAUAACUUUGUAAGCAUAGUUGACCUUUGAACAACAGGGGGUUGAACUGUGCGGGUCCGCUUAUAGUGGAUUUUUUUUCCAAUGAGUAUAUUGGAAAAUCUGGGGGAGGUUUGCAACAACUUGAAAAAACAAAAAACAAAACAACAGAGAAAUUCUGUAGCCUAGAAAUAGCAAAAUAAAAUAAAAUGAGACAUGUCAUGAAUGCAUAAAACAUAUGUGGAUGAUAAUCUGCCCUUAUAUAGGCAUAAGAUGUGUGAUCUGUAAUAUAAAAUUAAUAAUAUAUUAGUUUUCCUACUGUUUCAUGUUUUCUUUCAAAGAAAUUACAUUUACAGUAUCUCUCUCUCUCUCUCCUAAUUGGAGAAAUUGUGUAUCAGCCUAUUAUCACAGGUAAGCAGUUUUUUAAAAAAUGUAACAAUGCUUCCCAAUACUAUAGUAUAAAUAUGACUGUAUACUGUAUGCCAUAAAAUGUUUAUGACCAUUCAUUAGUGUACAGGCUAGGCUACCAUGAAGCGAUCGUAUCAGUUACGCUAGGCUACCACAAAGCCCUCACACGGCUGCUUCCUUGUUAUCAAUGUAUGCAUCGUUAUACCUGUAAAUAAAUAGGAAUUUAUUUUGCACAUUAUCCUUUCAUUUUUGAUGUCUGGUGUUAGUAAUAUGUAUAGCAUCUACAGUGUUUUGUAUCAAAUAAGACAAUAUUGAUGUAGAUACUGGUAGACGAUUCAUCUUAUAAACAGAUGCAUAAACUUAUGACAUUGACAAAUAGAGUACAGACCUAUAAACAUAUUUUCUCUUCCUUAGAAUUUUCCUAACAUUUUCUUUUCUCUAGCUUACUUUAUUCUAAGAAGACAGUAUUUAAUACUUAUAAAAUACAAAAUAUGUGUUAAUUGACUAUUCAUGUUAUCAGUAAGAAUUCCAGUCAACAGUUUUUGAUGAGUCAAAAGUCAUAGGCAUGGGAGUUCCCAUCGUGGCUCAGUGGUUAACGAAUCCGACUAGGAACGAUGAAGUUGCUGGUUCGAUCCCUGCCCUUGCUCUGUGGGUUAAGGAUCCGGCGUUUCCAUGAGCUGUGGUGUUGGUCACAGAUGCGGCUCAGAUCCCGCGUUGCUGUGGCUCUGGCGUAGGCCAGCAGCUACAGCUCCGAUUAGACCCCCUAGCCUGAGAACCUCCAUAUGCCGUGGGAGUGGCCUAAGAAAUGGCAAAAAUACCAAAAAAAAAAAAAAAAAA
rnacentral:lncRNA from 1 species